rnacentral:rRNA from 1 species
AUUGAACGCUGGCGGCAUGCCUUACACAUGCAAGUCGAACGGCAGCACGGGAGCAAUCCUGGUGGCGAGUGGCGAACGGGUGAGUAAUAUAUCGGAACGUGCCCAGUCGUGGGGGAUAACGUAGCGAAAGCUACGCUAAUACCGCAUACGAUCUAUGGAUGAAAGCGGGGGAUCGCAAGACCUCGCGCGAUUGGAGCGGCCGAUAUCAGAUUAGGUAGUUGGUGAGGUAAAGGCUCACCAAGCCGACGAUCCGUAGCUGGUCUGAGAGGACGACCAGCCACACUGGGACUGAGACACGGCCCAGACUCCUACGGGAGGCAGCAGUGGGGAAUUUUGGACAAUGGGCGCAGGCCUGAUCCAGCAAUGCCGCGUGCAGGAUGAAGGCCUUCGGGUUGUAAACUGCUUUUGUACGGAACGAAACGGUGAGCUCUAAUACAGUUUGCUAAUGACGGUACCGUAAGAAUAAGCACCGGCUAACUACGUG